rnacentral:tRNA from 1 species
AAGGGAGACCUAAUUCAGGUAGGAGACGAAAAAAAAGUAGUCGCUACCAAGAAUCAAUCCCAAAAGGUCGGAACGAGGUAUGUGGCUUUCAAACUAGGUUCUGGGUUCAUAAAAGACCUGAAUCAGGAACAAGGGCUAUUAGCUCAGGUGGUUGGAGCGCACCCCUGAUAAGGGUGAGGUCCCUGGUUCGAGUCCAGGAUGGCCCACCUGCACAGGUGGCAAAAACAAAGAAGGGAAGCGAGGAAUCAGCACCUGCUCUUAUCUAUAUAUAAGAGAGAAUGCUGGCUCUGAGUACAGAGUCCAGAGGAACCUUGAAAACUGCAUAGAGCUAGGUGAAAAAGCCAAAAAAGAAGACCGCAA